AGAGAUGACUGAGUGGUUUAAAGUAUCAAAUUGCUAAUUUGACAUAUUAUAUAUAUCAAGGGUUCAAAUCCCUUUCUCUCUU
rnacentral:tRNA from 1 species